AUACGUAGGUGGCAAGCGUUGUCCGGAUUUACUGGGCGUAAAGAGUAUGUAGGCGGAUAAUCAAGUCAGAUGUGAAAGUCCAUGGCUUAACUGUGGGAGUGCAUUUGAGACUGAAGAUCUAGAGUGCAGGAGAGGGAAGCGGAAUUCCUAGUGUAGCGGUGAAAUGCGUAGAUAUUAGGAAGAACACCAGUGGCGAAGGCGGCUUUCUGGACUGUAACUGACGCUGAAGCACGAAAGCGUGGGGAGCAAACAGGAUUAGAUACCCUGGUAGUCCACGCCGUAAACGAUGAGUAUUAGGUGUAGGGGACGAUAGUCUUCUGUGCCGGAGCAAACGCAAUAAAUACUCCGCCUGGGGAGUACGGUCACAAGACUAAA
rnacentral:rRNA from 1 species